GUCUGACUGCUGUGGAAGACAUACUUUGUAAUCUAUUAAAAUCCUCUUUCCCCUUUCAAAUUCUUCCAUCCACAUGCAUGUAAAUGUAAUGUUGAGUCGACCAAGUCCUCCAAGGCUUUUACAUUACAAAUAAGUACUCCACUGCAGACAGUAGGGGGCAGCAGAGCGCUGCCUGCUGCCGGUUGGGGACUGUUUUGAUGACGUAGCUGUCGUCGUCUUGCCGUUCCGGCAAGAUCGUCGAGAUCCUCCUGUUUUACAGGUUUAUUACCUUUCCACGUGCCCUGUGCCUGGGGCUUGUAAGACAUAUAAGCUGGCUUGCCAACCGGCAAUAAAAGAAUAGCAGAAACAACAGCAAAAAGCUUUCGCCGUGGAAGAUACCGUCGCUAAGGAGAAGGAAUUGAGGAGGACUCUUCAACCGAUGAGGCUCGUCUUGGAAGACGGGGAAAUCCAGAGACCUGGAACGUGAAGGUCCAGAAAAGUAUGUCCAUGCCAGUCUGCAACCUGCUAAAGGUUCACUAAACUCUACUGCAGAAAAGCAGAAGACACAUCAUAAGAACAAGAUUUCUAAGUAUUUCUGGGGGAAUUUGGACUGGAGAAAUGAUUGUGAAGUCUGUGGUGGAGGGGAGCACUGUAAAGCGGCGGCGGACAGGAGCAGAUGAAUCCAGAAGAAAGACCAGUGUGAUGCCUACUGUUCUUUCAAGCCUGGAAACAUCGAAGCAGCUUCAUGGGACACAAAGCCUGCGAAGCAAAAGGAUAAAGAUGAUGCAGAUGAGAAGACCUUGUUGGUGCUCACUCCAAUUCCAGGCCAUACCGUGUGAGGUACGUAUCUUCAAGGACUUCUGCCAGAUGGGGAACUGGGAAAAAGCUGGGGAUCCAACAUUGCAUGACCUCCAAACAAUCAGAUACAACGUGGAUGGCACCACUCAGAUGACUGGGAAGCCUAUCUGUCCCCAUCUCUUAAAAGAAGAGUAUCACCACAGCAGCCCCACUGUGCGCAGCCAGCCAGCCAGUUAAAGAGCUGAAGUUCAAACAGCCCCAAGAACUGAAGGUUUUGCCCAAGAACUUCCACUCACCCUACGAUGGACUGGACCACGAGUGAUGCCCGUCACCAGCUGGAGCCUCACGCAGACGCACACACACUGAUGUACUUAGGCUAUAUUAGUUACAGUUGUUCAUUAAAAUGAGCGUAAUUAUAUUUUUGCAUUAUUUUUUAAAUACCUUUUACUGGUUUUAAUGGUUUUAACAUAAUUCCUAAUUGUUCAAAGUAUUAAGUCAAAUAUCUAGUAGUAGUCAAGACUCCAAUCAAUUGUCUCUCACAAAUAGUCUGACAGAUUCUUUAUCCUGGUUGUUCAUAAUAAUAAUUUUGAAUGUUGUGUGGUUUACACAGUAAAAUAAAUUUCAACCUUUACUGAUUAAACCGAUUUCAUUUUGUCAUUAUCAGCCAACAUUAUUCACAAUGUAAAGAUAGCUUAUUGAUGAUUAACAUGAUUUCAAAACAUGCAUCUUAUUAUUUAGCUUAGGUAUC